rnacentral:rRNA from 1 species
UGAGGAAUAUUGGUCAAUGGGCGAGAGCCUGAACCAGCCAAGUAGCGUGCAGGAUGACGGCCCUAUGGGUUGUGAACUGCUUUUAUAUGGGAAUAAAGUGAGGGACGUGUCCCUUAUUGCAUGUACCAUAUGAAUAAGGACCGGCUAAUUCCGUGCCAGCAGCCGCGGUAAUACGGAAGGUCCAGGCGUUAUCCGGAUUUAUUGGGUUUAAAGGGAGCGUAGGCUGUUUGUUAAGCGUGUUGUGAAAUGUAAGAGCUCAACUUUUAGAUUGCAGCGCGAACUGGCAGACUUGAGUGCGCACAACGUAGGCGGAAUUCAUGGUGUAGCGGUGAAAUGCUUAGAUAUCAUGACGAACUCCGAUUGCGAAGGCAGCUUACGGGAGCGCAACUGACGCUAAAGCUCGAAGGUGCGGGUAUCGAACAGG